rnacentral:rRNA from 1 species
GAUGAACGCUGGCGGCGUGCCUAAUACAUGCAAGUCGAGCGAACAGACGAGGAGCUUGCUCCUCUGACGUUAGCGGCGGACGGGUGAGUAACACGUGGAUAACCUACCUAUAAGACUGGGAUAACUUCGGGAAACCGGAGCUAAUACCGGAUAAUAUAUUGAACCGCAUGGUUCAAUAGUGAAAGACGGAUUUGCUGUCACUUAUAGAUGGAUCCGCGCCGCAUUAGCUAGUUGGUAAGGUAACGGCUUACCAAGGCAACGAUGCGUAGCCGACCUGAGAGGGUGAUCGGCCACACUGGAACUGAGACACGGUCCAGACUCCUACGGGAGGCAGCAGUAGGGAAUCUUCCGCAAUGGGCGAAGGCCUGACGGAGCAACGCCGCGUGAGUGAUGAAGGUCUUCGGAUCGUAAAACUCUGUUAUUAGGGAAGAACAAAUGUGUAAGUAACUAUGCACGUCUUGACGGUACCUAAUCAGAAAGCCACGGCUAACUACGUG